CAUUCCGUUUUAGGCAAUCGCGCAGGUCCGCUGCGAGGCGGGCAGUGAGGAAAGUCCGGACUCCAUAGAAGCAGGGAUGCCGGGAGAAAUUCCCGGGUUUUUCAGGCGGCAACGUCGAAAGACAGAAAGUGUUACAGAAAAGCAAACUUCCCCACACGGGGUAAAGGUGAAACGGCAGGGUAAGAGCCUACCAUCCGCAGAGCAAUCUGCGGGAUUGACAAACCUCAUCCGGAGUAAGACCAUGUAUAGGGAGUAGAAGUUCUGCUUGCUUUAUAAGCUCCCGGGGUAGGUCGCAAGAAUCUUUUAAGUAAUUAAAAGAUAAGAUAAAUGAUUGCCAUCCGCCACGGCGGAUACAGAAUCCGGCUUAUUAAACGGAAUGGAUA
rnacentral:RNase_P_RNA from 1 species